UGCUUUUCCUACUUUCUACAUUGCCUCCCAGGACAGAAACAGGACAAGUGAAGGUCAGAAGUGCCAGCAUGUAGCAUGCCCACCCGCAAUUACGGGAUCCCGAGUUGGUUCUGGGCCCCAGUGCCCUCAAACCUGGAUACCUCACAAAGUAGGGAGUCUCCAGGCCAGCUCAGAGGAAGCUGCCAAGAGGUUUGGUCCUCAGAGAGGAGACAGAACCGCAUCAAUCAAAACCACAGAAGACACGGAUGUCUGUGUCUCCGGCAGAGAGGCAGGAUGGUACAGAGGCUACAGGCAGAGAUGCAGGCCAGACCGCCGGGGCUCAAAUGCCACAUAAAGCAUAAACCACAGUGCCCUAGAAGGUACUCCGUAAGUGU